rnacentral:tRNA from 1 species
GCCUGGGUGGCUCAGUCGGUUAAGCAUCCGACUUCGGCUCGGGUCGUGAUCUCGCGGACCGUGAGUUCGAGCCCCGCAUCGGGCU